rnacentral:lncRNA from 1 species
AUCUAAUUAAUCCAUGUUAAUAUUAUGUUAUUAACUGCAUCUCAAGUGUGACUGUUAUUUUAAAAUUCACUUUAAAUAUGCGAAAUUCAUCCAACUUUUCAGACUAUACAGAGCUGCUCAACUCAAUAGGUACACCACACAAUUGCAAACAAAUUAAAGACUGCGAAGUAUACAAACUUAAUUGAACACCUCACAGCUUAUGACAGAGAGUAAAUGUUUCGUCAACUGCUUGUUUGUUUCAAGUACAAUGCACAAUGCACACACACAACAGCUAGCAAGUUGAACCCUAACUGCUUCAAUCAGGUUCCAACAUCCAUUGUUACAGUGCUCAAAUUUUAGUUUAAUUCGCUCUCACAAUGGUACGAGCAAACUCCCCCAAAUUCAAACCAAUCCAAGUCCACCCAAACUCAAACAAUUGGAGCUCAUGGUCAACAUUCACUUGGAAUUUUUCCCCCUUCUCAUAGCAUCAAAAGUUCAAAACUCGUCCAACAGCAGCAAUCAGCAAGCGAGCACCAAAACUCUCAUCCAUCC